rnacentral:rRNA from 1 species
UGGGGGGGGGGGUGCCUUUUACACUUGCAAGUCGGACGGCAGCACAGAGAAGCUUGCUUCUUGGGUGGCGAGUGGCGAACGGGUGAGUAAUAUAUCGGAACGUACCGAGUAAUGGGGGAUAACUAAUCGAAAGAUUAGCUAAUACCGCAUAUUCUCUGAGGAGGAAAGCAGGGGACCUUCGGGCCUUGCGUUAUUCGAGCGGCCGAUAUCUGAUUAGCUAGUUGGUGGGGUAAAGGCCUACCAAGGCGACGAUCAGUAGCGGUGCUGAGAGGAUGAUCCGCCACACUGGGACUGAGACACGGCCCAGACUCCUACGGGAGGCAGCAGUGGGGAAUUUUGGACAAUGGGCGCAAGCCUGAUCCAGCCAUGCCGCGUGUCUGAAGAAGGCCUUCGGGUUGUAAAGGACUUUUGUCAGGGAAGAAAAGGCUGUUGCUAAUAUCGACAGCUGAUGACGGUACCUGAAGAAUAAGCACCGGCUAACUACGUGCCAGCAGCCGCGGUAAUACGUAGGGUGCGAGCGUUAAUCGGAAUUACUGGGCGUAAAGCGAGCGCAGACGGUUACUUAAGCAGGAUGUGAAAUCCCCGGGCUUAACCUGGGAACUGCGUUCUGAACUGGGUGACUAGAGUGUGUCAGAGGGAGGUAGAAUUCCACGUGUAGCAGUGAAAUGCGUAGAGAUGUGGAGGAAUACCGAUGGCGAAGGCAGCCUCCUGGGAUAACACUGACGUUCAUGCUCGAAAGCGUGGGUAGCAAACAGGAUUAGAUACCCUGGUAGUCCACGCCCUAAACGAUGUCAAUUAGCUGUUGGGCAACUUUGAUUGCUUAGUAGCGUAGCUAACGCGUGAAAUUGACCGCCUGGGGGAGUACGGUCGCAAGAUUAUAACUCAAAGGAAUUGACGGGGACCCGCACAAGCGGUGGAUGAUGUGGAUUAAUUCGAUGCAACGCGAAGAACCUUACCUGGUCUUGACAUGUACGGAAUUCUCCUAGAGACGGAGGAGUGCCUUCGGGAGCCGUUACCACAGGUUGCUGCAUGGCUGUCGUCUAGCUCUUGUUAGCGAAGAUGUGAGUUUAAUUGCCGCGACGGACGGCACCCCUUGAUCAUUAAUUGCCGUAUUUGUCUG